GGAGUGGAGACUUAGACUUAAAUUUUAUGAUGGAAUUUUAUGAAAUUGGGAUUGGUUUGGACAUGUGGGAUCCCCACACCUCAAAACCCUCCCCAUUUCCCGUAUACUGUCCUUCAUACUCUCUCUCUUCCUCAGCUCUUCCUCAGAAACUCUCAUUCUCUCUCUUCUUCUCGAACGCACGGGCAACCACCAAAACCACCUAAAACCUAUACCAACGUUCCAUUUAAGACCACCAUCGUGAUCCUGGGGACUUCACGAGCACGGGGAUACCAAUUUCAGGUGAGUUUCACUUCGAAAACCCUAGUUCUAAAGUUGCCGUGAGAUGACACUGUUCAUGAGCUUUGAAUUGGUUACGUUUUAGGCUAAAACAAGAUCACAGCGAGUUUAGUAAGGUCCCAAGGAAGCUCGGAGUGCUUCGUUGGAAGUUUUUGGACGUAAGAACACGGAGAUCGACAAGUUCAAAGUUUGGCCGGAGCUUUCGAGGCGUUUUCCGGCGAAUCCCCGGAGAGUUAGGAGUCGAGGUAGGUGUCAAUCUCUUCGUCUCGUCAAGUACUACAACUUUCCUUUUUUGUUUCACUCAAUUUCGUUGAGUAUUGAAGAAGUUAUACUCAUUUUGAAAAAUACCCAGUUUCCGGCGACCUCCGAGGCUUUCGAGGCCGUUUCCGGCCAAACCACGGCGAACUAGGUGUUGUGCAAGGUACCAUUCUCUUUGUCUCUUCAAGGGCUACAACUUUCGUUUUUGAAUCACUUGAUUUCGUUGAGAAAUGACAAAGUUAUGGCAAUUUGAAAAACUGCCCGGAAAACGGCCGCCGGAAAAACCAGUCCGGCGACCCAAGGAAGAAGAAGGUGCUACAGUAAAAAUAAAAAAAAUAAAAAUAAAAUUAUUUUAAAAAUAUGUCGACGUCCGUGACGUCGAGUAGAUCACUGUGGUAUAUUCAUAUACCUAAAUUGAACACCGUAUGAGAAAGUUAUUAAGGAUUGUUGGUUAGGUGUUCAAAUAACGUUUUAUAGUUUUCACAUUAGGUGAAAAUGUGAAUUGAUGAUCCGACCGUUGGAUCAUCACCAAACUUUGAUACGUUGUAAUACGUAAUAUUUGAGGAUUAUAGGAACUUACAGAUUGGGAAUCCGAUUUGCGGAUCUUCCGAAAUUGGAGUUGUAAGUCCAUAAUAUAGAAUGUUAACCGUCACUUAGUUUUGGAAAUUGACGGAAAUCCAACCGUUUGAUAGUAAUGAAAUUUUAGGAUGUUAUCCUAGAGAUAUACUGUGGACCUCUGGAAGUUAUGGAUUUAAAAUCUGAGUGGCAGAUCUUCCGGAUCGAACUACGUAGUGACGUAUUUUAUAUAAGUUAAAUAUUAUAUCGAUAUGAAUUCUGAGGUUGGAUUUGAUUUCUAUUCUAGGCGGCGAUCGUCGUGACGCCUUGAUGUGUGGUGCUAGGGAGUUGUUGGAUGAACUCCAGGUGAGUGGGCAGUUUUGUUUUCCGUAUAUAUAUAUAUACUUAACGUUUUCCCAGAAAUUGAAAAUGCAUGAAAUUAUGUUUAAAAUGAAAUGCAUAUGAGUUAUGUGAGAAAAAACGGGAAGUGAAAUACCAUGCAUAGAAUUGAUAUGAAAAGUAUAUAGAAAUGUGAGUUGAAAUGCCAUGCAUGAAUUAAUAUAUGAUGCAUAUGUAUGAAUUGGUGCGGUGGACGCACAGGUAAGAAUUGAUUUAUGAUGCAUAUGUAUGAAUUGGUGCGGUGGACGCACAGGUAAGAAUUGAUUUAUGAUGCAUAUGUAUGAAAUGGUGCGGUGGACGCACAGAUGAGUAUUUAAUUACUGUUAUGAUGAUGAUGAUAUAUAUUGAGCUCAAAUCCUGCACCAUGGUUUAGUGCUUAUAGUAUUCACCGCAUCGCACGCUCGCCUUGGAUCCAAGUAGAUGCUAGUCGUACAGUCCACGCGGAGUGGGUACGACAGGCCAGUCGCGAGAGUGUUAGUGAGAUUCCGACUGGUGGGUGACCUUAGAUUAUGUGCACAGAUGAUUUAUGAGAAGCACUAGAGCGUAACUUGUGUGCAGAAGGCCGGACGGGUCACAGAGGUGACUCCGGUAGAGUGAUAAUGAUAGAUUUUGAGCUCUAGGUUCAACCGUAUAGGGCUAUUAGAGGGCCUACGGUUGAUUACUUUCUUGCACCUGAUAUGAUUAUGUUGAUGCAUUCAUACCUUAUUACUGUUGAGAUAAUGUGGCAUGGCAUAAUUAAUAUGAGAAAUGUUGAGAUGACAUGGCAUGGCAUGAUUGAUAAAGAGAUAAUGUUGAGAUAGUAAAAAUGAAGUUUUGAGAAUAUAUAUGUAUAUUUAUAUUUUACAUUUCUGGGAAAGUAUACAGGUUUUACGGAGAGGGGUUACAACGUUUUGAGAAAUGUUUGGAUUUGGAAAAGAAUUGUUUUACUGACCCACUCAAUUUUGGUUUUGCGCCCCUCCAGGUUCAGGAAUCACAAAGGUGUGGUGACUACGAGGAAUUCGACGGUGUUCUGACAGAUUGGACAAAAUUAGGACUCACCUUCGGGUGUAUCAACUUAUAAAUUGUAUAAUUAAAGCUUCCGUACUGUGCAAAUGGUUACGUCACUCUCACGUGACGGCCAGCAUGCCCUCCUUCGGGACGGGGUGUGUCAGUUGGUAUCAGAGCAUGGUUGCAAUCUUGGACAUCUUGAGAAGUUUCUAGUGAAUUCUGUCAGAACUACACCGCCUCGUAGCAAGCCACUUAGUUAGAGGAAUUUAGUCUCCCUAAUAUAGCGGUUUAGGGAAAACUAUUAUUAUGGUGAUUCAGUCUAUUAUAAAAAGGGACAUUUUAAGACGGAUUAUGAGUUGAAUUUGAAUCACUUAAGAGAAAUGAUGAACCUGAGGGAACAAAGUGACGGAUUAACCAAUUGGAAAAGAUGUUUCGGAAUAUGCAAGUCAAAGGAAUCUUCCUUCUGACAGGGGGUCGAGACGACUACCUGGUUUUGGGUAUGAAUUUGUAUCCUGGUGGAAACAGGAGUAUGAUGUGUUGUCACCGGAGGAACAGCCGAUUUAAAAUUGUUUAAGGACUUGUUUAAGGGAAAAGUUUAUCCCUCCGGCAUUUAUCGAUGGUAGUAAACAAGAGUUUACAAAUAUGAGACAAGGAAGGUGAUGAUCGAGGGAUAUUAUAGAAAGUUUUCAGACUUGCCUCGUUCCAUCCAGAUAUGGUUGUUAUUGGUGGAGGUGUUAUGUUGUUUUUAAGCUGGGUGGCAAAAAGGGAAGUGGUAUUUUUGGGUGACCACUAUCCAUUAUACUUCUUACCAGGAAUAUACGAGAUGCUGUUGAGUCUUGAGGACUCUGAGAACAUGAUCAACGAGAAUAAAGAAGAAUAAGAAAUGAAUGGGAAUUAAAAGAAGACGAUAAAGUUAAUGAUUCGUCUUAUCAAGGAUAUAGAAAGAUUCAGAGCUUCGAAAGAAGUGAAGCUAGAGUUAAUUCUUCCAGCUGAGGUUUUAAUGUCGCUGGUCAGAGUAAAAGUGAUGGAUAUACUAGUAAUCCCAGAUAUUUGAGACAAGGUGUCUCGAGUAAAGGAAAUGUACUUUGUGCAGCAGGUACAAAAUUAACACUUUGGGAAGUGUGAAAUUAAUGAAUGUGUUUAUGUGAACAGAGGGGACACAGAAUUGUGAAUCGUCCCUAGAAUCAGUUGUACUCAACAGUUUUCUAUGACAUCGUAGUGUCGAUUCAGCAAGUUUAUGAACUUAGUAGUUUGGUCGGAUUGACCGUGGGUACAGAGAGAUUUGAUGAGUUAUAUGUUCAGCCGUACAGACCAUGAGAGGUGGAUCUGGCUGACGCAUGAGAAAUUGGUGAGUUAUAGGCUCGGCCGUACCGACCACGCGGAGUGGAUCCGGCCGACGUAUUAUUGAGAUAAGAGUUGAAUCAACCGUAUUGGUCAUUCUAGUUGACUUCGGCUGAUAUAUUUCUUAUUAUGUAUGUUAUACCUAGAGAGUAGUAAAUAAAUGUAGUUGAGACGAGUGUAUGUAUUUUGCAUUGAGUGACAAAAUAGUAAUGUUAUAUCUUUGUGAGUGGUUGCCUACUUAUCGAGACAACGAUGAUUUAUCAGUAUUGCGGGCUGCAGACCGUAAUAUUAAUAACUCAUUCGUGGAUUCGUUAAGCAAGCAACCCGGUAGAUUAUUUUAUGUUAGUAUUGUACUUAUUUGGAAUGCUUAAUAAUAAUAGAAUAUAUAUUGUAUCAGUUAAUUCUGUUCCAUUAGAUUGGUUGGUUAUAAUUGUGACAAGACGAAAUGUUAUGGGAAACCAGUACUUUCCAUCGAUCUGGAUGAACAGAGAUUACUUUUGUAAGUAUGCAAAAUGGAUUGAGUCAGGCUGUUAUUUAUGCUGUGAGAGCAAAGAGAUUGUUUUCGAAAGGCUGUCAAAAAUACUUAGCUCAUGUGGUGCUAAAUGAUGUUGUUUGGAGUAGUGUGAAUAAUGUCGAAAGAGUUAGACUUUUCUUGAUGUCUUCCCUGAAAGUAUACCUGGAUUGCCUUCAGGCAGAGAUAUGAGGUUCACUAUUGAUUUGUUGCCAGGUAUAAAUUUAUGUUAAAGAUUGGUUCAUGAUGAGUUAAGGGAAUUAGAAAUUCAGUUGAGAGAAUUGGUUGAUAAAAGUUUUAUUCAACCAGUACAACACUCUUGAGGAGCACCAGUUUGUUGGUGAGAAAGAAAAUGGAUCUUGAGACUGUUCAUUGAUUAUAGACAAUGGAGUCGGGUAACGAUUGAGAACCGUUAUCCAUGGUGAUGUACUGAUGUUUAUUUAACCAGCUCAGAAGUAAUUGCGAAGAUUCAAAGAUUGAAUUGAGGUCUGGUUAUUACCAAUUAAAGAUUAUGAGCGACGUUGUUCUUAAGAUUGUUUUAUGAAUUAUGGUGAUGCUAUAUGGAUACUCAUGCUGUUUUAUGAGUUAUUGGAUGAAGUAUUCCAAUAAUGCCUUGAUAAAUAGAUAUCAUUUUCAUUGAAGAUAUUCUGGCAUAUUCUGAGCCAGAGCAGAGCAUGUAAAUGUAUUAAGUCGGUGGAACAAAGAUUGGAAGAAUGUCGGUUGUAUGCUAAGUAGCAAAUGCUAAAGUUAGAUGAAUCAGGUGGCAUUCUGAGAUUUGUUAUAUAUUCUUAAGGUAUUCAAGUGAAUCCUUAAAAGAUAGCAGAAAUUGAGGAAUUGGAACAACCACGAACUGUAAUUGAGAUUCGGAAUUUCUUAGCUUACCAGGCUAUCUUGGAUGGUUGUGAAAGAUUUUUCAGUCAUUGCUUUGUCAUUGACGAGACUGUUGAGAAAGGAGGUUAUGUAUGAGUGGGAAGGAAAUUGUGAGCAAAGGUUUCAACAACUGAAGUAUUUCCUCACUCAUGCACGUAUUUUGGUAUUCCCAAAGAAUAGUGGUAAUCAUAAAUUUUUAGUGAUGUUUCUUGAAUGGUAUUGGAGGCAUGUUGAUGCAAAUGUUAGGGUGAUUGCAUACGUUUCACGAUAAAUGGAAUCUCAUAAGAUGAAUUACCCUACGGGUGACUUGGAAGUCAUGAUUACCAUUCUUGCUGUGAAGUUAUGAAGGCAUUAUAUUUGGUAAGAAUGCAAGAUUUUUACGAAUCCAAAAAGUCUUCAAUAUCCAUUACUUGGAAGGAUUUUGAUAUGAGGCAGCGAAAGUGAAUUGUAUUGCUUAAUGAACAUGAUUGUACGAUCAGGGUGAUCGUAAAGUUUGUUCUAGCUCAAGCACUUGGUGAGAAGACUACAGUAAGAUUAAUGUCUGGCACGUUUGCCAAGAGUAUCAUCUUGUGGAUUGAAAACCAACGGAAGAAAAAUUAAGAAUGGAAGAUCGAGAAGAAGUUAUACUUGUUAAGUAACAAGUUAGUACAUUUACUCCAGUGUUGAGUAACAACCUUUCCCAGACAGUGCAACAUUACUUAUUUGUUUUAUGGAAAAGAGAAUUGGUUUACGGAACUGCUGAGUUUCUUAAGUAUGUUGGUUGUGCAGUUUCCGAAGUAACGCCAUAAGGAUCAUGAAAUGUGUCAUGUGAGUCGGUUUUUGAUGACUUGUGAAUGGAAUGUUUCUGGGUAGAGAAGGAUUCGAUCAAGAAAGAGUUUUAGUAGACCUUGAGACUAUGGAUGAGUUUCCUCAAAGUAUUCAGGUGAUUAAGUUAACCUGAAGUAACCAGGAAUGGCAAAAGAGAUCAACAGAUGGAUAUGCCACUAAUCGAGUGUGUAAGGUAAAUGGUUUGAUAUUUUUGGAAAAUUCACCGCGAACAGAAAUGACGAGAAUUGGAAAAGAGACAAGAUAAGAUUUAGACACAUCAGACCAUUUUUUUUUUCUCACUAAAGGAAUCAAUAAAGUUGCAUACAAGUUUGUGAUGCCUUCAGAAUUGGCUAAGGCACAUAAUGUAUUUUGUGUUCGAUGCGUUGUCACUAAGUGGCAGGGUCGUUACAUGGGACUUUGGUGCAACUAUUGAGAAUUAAGCCGGAUAUGAUUGGUGAGGAACUAAUGUCGACUUUGGAUUGGAAAAAGAAGGUCCUAAGAAUUAAGACAGAGUAAGUAGUAAAAGCUUUGUGAAGGAAAUCAUUCAGUAGAAAAUUGUGUGGGAGAAAGAGAAUCGGAUGAGAGAGAUUUAUCCGAGGCUAUUGUAUGAGUAUAGAUGAUUUGGUUGGUUGCUGGAAUUUCGGGGACGAAAUUCUAUAAGGAGGGGAGAUUGUCACAGCCCGCGCCGGAAUUUUUAAUUCCGAGGACAUGAAAUUACGGAAAUGUCCCUAAUACGUGACUAAGGUAUAAUUUUCACGUUCGUUAUAUCUAAGCUCCAAAAAAAUUUGGUAAUUGGAGUGGAGACUUAGACUUAAAUUUUAUGAUGGAAUUUUAUGAAAUUGGGAUUGGUUUGGACAUGUGGGAUCCCCACACCUCAAAACCCUCCCCAUUUCCCGUAUACUGUCCUUCAUACUCUCUCUCUUCCUCAGCUCUUCCUCAGAAACUCUCAUUCUCUCUCUUCUUCUCGAACGCACGGGCAACCACCAAAACCACCUAAAACCUAUACCAACGUUCCAUUUAAGACCACCAUCGUGAUCCUGGGGACUUCACGAGCACGGGGAUACCAAUUUCAGGUGAGUUUCACUUCGAAAACCCUAGUUCUAAAGUUGCCGUGAGAUGACACUGUUCAUGAGCUUUGAAUUGGUUACGUUUUAG
rnacentral:lncRNA from 1 species